rnacentral:rRNA from 1 species
AACGAACGCUGGCGGCAUGCCUAACACAUGCAAGUCGAACGAGACCUUCGGGUCUAGUGGCGCACGGGUGCGUAACGCGUGGGAACCUGCCCUUAGGUUCGGAAUAACUCCCCGAAAGGGGUGCUAAUACCGGAUAAUGUCUUCGGACCAAAGAUUUAUCGCCUUUGGAUGGGCCCGCGUUGGAUUAGCUAGUUGGUAGGGUAAAAGCCUACCAAGGCGACGAUCCAUAGCUGGUCUGAGAGGAUGAUCAGCCACACUGGGACUGAGACACGGCCCAGACUCCUACGGGAGGCAGCAGUGGGGAAUAUUGGACAAUGGGCGAAAGCCUGAUCCAGCAAUGCCGCGUGAGUGAUGAAGGCCUUAGGGUUGUAAAGCUCUUUUACGCGGGAUGAUAAUGACAGUACCGGGAGAAUAAGCUCCGGCUAACUCCGUG